rnacentral:misc_RNA from 1 species
UCCUGGUUGGCCCAGGCAGUAUCGCGUGAAAAAUACAACACACGACAAGGGUUUCGCUCGUUGCCGGACUUAACCGAACAUCUCACGACACGAGCUGAGGACGGCCAUGCAACACCUGUCACUGGGUUCCCGAAGGCACAGCCCUGUUUCCAGAGUCGGUCCAAAGCCGUUCGAGCCCAGGUAAGGUUCUUCGCGUUGCGUCGAAUUAAACCACAUGCUCCACCGCUUGUGCGGGUCCCCGUCAAUUCCUUUGAGUUUCAGUCUUGCGACCGUACUCCCCAGGCGGAAUGCUUAAAGCGUUAGCGACGGCACCCGGGGACUUUAUAACCCCAGACACCAAGCAUUCAUCGUUUAAGGCUAGGACUAC